GAUGAACGCUGGCGGCGUGCCUAAUACAUGCAAGUCGAGCGAACAGACGAGGAGCUUGCUCCUCUGACGUUAGCGGCGGACGGGUGAGUAACACGUGGAUAACCUACCUAUAAGACUGGGAUAACUUCGGGAAACCGGAGCUAAUACCGGAUAACAUGUUGAACCGCAUGGUUCAACAGUGAAAGACGGUCUUGCUGUCACUUAUAGAUGGAUCCGCGCCGCAUUAGCUAGUUGGUAAGGUAACGGCUUACCAAGGCAACGAUGCGUAGCCGACCUGAGAGAGUGAUCGGCCACACUGGAACUGAGACACGGUCCAGACUCCUACGGGAGGCAGAAGUAGGGAAUCUUCCGCAAUGGGCGAAAGCCUGACGGAGCAACGCCGCGUGAGUGAAGAAGGUCUUCGGAUCGUAAAACUCUGUUAUUAGGGAAGAACAAAUGUGUAAGUAACUAUGCACGUCUUGACGGUACCUAAUCAGAAAGCCACGGCUAACUACGUG
rnacentral:rRNA from 1 species